rnacentral:rRNA from 1 species
AAAACUUUACAAUGCGGGCAACCGUGAUAAGGGAACCUCGAGUGCCUGUAUAUGCAGGCUGUUCAGGUGUCUAAGACACACCUGAAGAAAGGGCCGGGCAAGACCGGUGCCGGCCGCCGCGGUAAUACCGGCGGCUCGAGUGGUGGCCACUUUUACUUGGGCUUAAAGCGUUCGUAGCUGGGUUGUUAAGUCUCUUGGGAAAUCUGGCGGCUUAACCGUCAGGCGUCUAAGGGAUACUGGCAAUCUUGGAACCGGGAGAGGUGAGGGGUACUUCGGGGGUAGGAGUGAAAUCCUGUAAUCCUCGAGGGACCACCUGUGGCGAAGGCGCCUCACCAGAACGGCUUCGACAGUGAGGGACGAAAGCUGGGGGAGCAAACCGGAUUAGAUACCCGGGUAGUCCCAGCCGUAAACGAUGUGCGUUAGGUGUAUCGGUGACCACGAGUCACCGAGGUGCCGAAGGGAAACCGUGAAACGUACCGCCUGGGAAGUACGGUCGCAAGGCUGAAACUUAAAGGAAUUGGCGGGGGAGCACCACAACGGGUGGAGCNUGCGGUUUAAUUGGACUCAACGCCGGAAAUCUCACCGGAUAAGACAGCGGAAUGAUUGCCGGGCUGAAGACUCUGCAUGACUAGCUGAGAGGAGGUGCAUGGCCGUCGUCAGUUCGUACUGUGAAGCAUCCUGUUUAGUCAGGCAACGAGCGAGACCCACGCCAACAGUUGCCAGCAUGGCCCCCGGGCUGAUGGGGACACUGUUGGGACCGCCUCUGCUAAAGGGGAGGAAGGAAUGGGCAACGGUAGGUCAGCAUGCCCCGAAUUAUCCGGGCUACACGCGGGCUACAAUGGGCAGGACAAUGGGUAUCGACACCGAAAGGUGAAGGCAAUCUCUUAAACCUGUCCUUAGUUCGGAUUGUGGGCUGUAACUCGCCCACAUGAAGCUGGAAUCCGUAGUAAUCGCGUUUCAAAAUAACGCGGUGAAUGUGUCCCUGCUCC